GGGCCGUUAGCUCAGUCGGUAGAGCAUCGGGCUUUUAACCCGAGGGUCGCAGGUUCGAUUCCUGCACGGCUCACCA
rnacentral:tRNA from 3 species